rnacentral:misc_RNA from 1 species
GUGUUCGCUAGAGAUGCUGACGCCGGAAUGAAUGGUGACCUUGACUACAGCAUCAAUAGUGGCAAAAACAAGAAAGGUCGUUUCAAGAUCCAUCCAAAAACAGGCCAGGUGUACAGCAAUAAGGCGUUCCCGCCUAGCAAGACUUUUGAACUAAUGAUCCAGGCAAAGGAUAAUGGACAACCACAGCUAAGCGCCACCACUCGUGUGCUAGUACGUGUGGUUGAUGUGCCUGAUACUUCCUCGAACCCACCUGUUCUGCCACCACAGUCCCCGGCACACGUCAUGGAGACGGAUCAACCAGGACAUUUGGUGGCAUUCAUAAAUGCUCAGGACCCGGACAACGAUACCUUGUGGUACUACAUUACAGAUGGGGACGACAGCGGCAGGUUUUGUAUGGGUGUGGAUUCUGGGUUGGUGAGCCUGGCCCGUCCCGUUGAUCACGAAGAUCAGUACCAUUACUCGCUCACUGUCAUGGCCACAGAUGGAGUGCAUUCCAACUCUACCAAACUAGUGGUAGAAGUAAUGAAUGCCAAUGACCACCGACCAGUGUUCAGCGCCAAGAAGUAUGAGGGCACAAUAAGUGAGGAUAUAGAACCAGGAGCCACUGUUCUCACAUUGCAGUGUCGUGACAAGGAUCAGGCACCGUUGUCAUUUUCUUCUGUGUAUUUCACGCUCCAUCAUGCUCAUGCUUUAGCCUCACAGGGGCUCUUCACUGUGGACUCGUUCACUGGUGACGUGCUUGUAGCAGAACCUCUGGACAGGGAAGUAACUGGUGUCCAUGAGCUGACUGUGAGCUGCAGAGACAGAGGACGCCGAGAGAAUGCAGACUUUGCCCGUGUUUCGGUAACAGUGAAGGAUGCAAAUGAUCAUGCCCCAGUCUUCCUAGAGCCCAUGAUCAUCGCCAAGGUUAGUGUGGGAGGUGCAGCCGGGACACCAGUAGUGCGAGUACUGGCGCUGGAUCAUGACAAGGGUGAAAACGGGAUGAUCUCAUACUCAAUCUUUGAAGGAAAUGCUGGAGGAAUCUUCAGCAUUGACAGUGCACUUGGAGUCAUCAGCCUCACAAGGACAUUACUCGAGGCUGAACCCUCUGAAUAUCUGCUUCUGGUUCGGGCCAUGGACCAUGCCAUUCAGGCUAAGGCUGCCUCAGUUCCGGUCAGAAUAAUAGUGACCUCUUCACAAAACUCACCACCCUCCUGGGAAGAAAAUAAUCCAAGAGUGGUGGAAGUUGGAGAGUGGGUGGCUGUGGGUACAGGUUUAGCCCGCAUCACUGCAUCUUCACCUUCUUCAAUUCACUACUCUCUCACAAGUGGAAAUGACAACAGCCCCUUCAUUAUAAGUCCUGCAUCAGGAGUAGUCAGUGUGGCAUCUCCACUCGAUUAUGAAAGUACUUCUUGGUACAAUCUUACCAUCACUGCUACAAAUCUGGCUGGUUUGUCUCAUAGUACCUGGCUGGGCGUGACAGUUUUAGAUGAAAAUGACUGGUGGCCUGAAUGGGAGAGACUUGCCUACCACGGUAGUGUUCUGCAGACUGCCAGCCGUGGGUCACCCGUGAUGGCAACCCACUCUCAGAACCUAACUCAGCUCACUGUUACAGCCCAGGACCUCGAUCAAGGUUACAAUGGAAGAGUUACUUACAGCCUUGUUGAGAGAAACAUUGGAAAAUAUUUUUCAAUCAACCGACACACAGGAGCAAUAUGGGUGUCAGGCAACCUUGAAGAAAUGGCAGGUACAACUAUUGAGUUCAGUGUGUGGGCUACUGAUGGUGGAAGCCCUAAGAGGGAGUGUGUUGCUCCUGCCCCUGUCUUUGUUGCGGUGAAAACAGUAAAACCUGCUCCUAUUGCCUUUGCUGAGCAGUUAUAUUCAGCUAUCCUUUAUCAACCAACCUUUCCUGGAGUGAGGGUAUUUUGCCUAGAUCCACUUGAUGAGCAGCAACAGCUUGUGGAAGUGAAUAAUAAACACCGACUCACAUAUUCUAUUGCUGCUGGUGAUGACAGGGAAAAUUUUGAAUUUGACAGCACCAGUAGAUGUGUUAAAGUUCGUGACAAAAUAAACCUUAAAUCUCAUUAUAACCUUACACUCCAAGCUACUGAUGGAUAUGCAUCAAUGACUGCAACAGCUGAAAUCAUGAUUCAAGAUGCACCUUUGUCUACUCUUGUUUUUACUCAAGAUCAAUACUGGGCCACAGUCAUUGAGAACUCCACUAAGGAAAUGAAUGUGGCUGCCCUUGGGUUAAAAGGCCAGCCACUCAACCAUCAUGUCCAUUUUACCAUUCUCAACCCUAAUGAAAAAUUUGACAUUCACUCAACUGCUGGUGUCAUCAAGACUACAGGCAGAUCUUUCGACCGUGAGGCUGAAGACCAUUACACGUUAGUGGUUGAGGCAAGAGAUGUCGAGGGAGCAGCAAAUGUGGCCCAUGUGCUUGUCCAUGUGGCAGUGAUGGACGUGAAUGACAAUGAGCCGGUAUUCAUUAACCGGCCCUACCAUGCCCUUGUCUCUACCAUGUCCCCACGUGGUGAUGUAGUCACCAAGGUGCAAGCAAUAGAUGCUGACUCUGAAGAGUUUGGGAGCAUUCGCUAUGAAUUGGUACGAGGUAGUGGUGAACUUUUCUCUGUGAACAAAAAGACUGGUGAAAUUUCCCUGAAACAGUCACUAAUGGCUGCUGACAAGACAUAUAGCCUCACUGUUGCUGCCUAUGAUGGAGGAAAUCCACCCUUAAGCUCACAGGCACAUGUCUUGAUAAGAGUGGUGUCUUCUGAAGGGCCCAUGUUCACUGCUGCCCGAUAUGAAACAUCCGUGCCAGAGAAUGCUGCUGAAGGCACACCUGUAGUGAGGGUGGAAGCCACCAGUACUUCAGGGGAGCCUGUAAUGUACACCAUUGUUGCUGGGAAUACUGAAGAAAAAUUUGCUAUCGACUAUUCCUCAGGUGGCAAUGCAGUAGAACCUGAGUGUGUAAUUCAGACUACAGCCAUGUUGGACUAUGAAGCCGCCCACAGCCACAACCUUACAGUCAGGGCCCGAGAUCCCUUCACUGGUAGCCACACAGAUGCUUAUGUCACCAUCAUGGUUACUGACAUCAAUGAUAACCCUCCAGAAUUCACUCACUAUAUAUUCAAAGGAGAUGUGUCAGAAGCUGCUGCUCCAGGUCAUGUCAUCCUUCAGGUUUCAGCGAGAGAUGUGGAUACUGGUAUGGGUGGAUCUGUCCGAUAUUCCUGUGCAGAUGAAUGUGAUGGAUUUGACAUACGCAGCACAGAUGGUGUUGUGGUGCUUACCAAACAACUGGAUGCUGAAGUUGAUUCUCAUCAUGAGCUUGUUGCUGUAGCUACUGAUUCAGGAAUUCCCCAGCUUUCUGCUACUGCCAGGGUUGUUAUUCAUGUUGUGGACUUCAACGACAACCCUCCCAUGUGGCGGCAGGACAGCUACUCUUGUCGUGUGUCAGCUGAAGCUCAACCUGGCCAUGUGGUUACUUCCAUGUCUGCUUCUGAUCCUGAUGCUGGUCAGAUCAUGCCUCUCCGUUAUGCCAUCCACUCAGGGGACCAAAGUGGAAUAUUCAAAAUGGAUUCUUUAACCGGUGUGCUGACAGUGACAGCACCACACAAGUUAGAGAAUGUAACUUCUCUGAAUCUGAACAUGUCAGUAACUGAUGGGGUACAUAUGGUCUUCAAGGUCCUUCAUGUCGCUAUUGUUCCUUCUAAUCAUCAUGCUCCUAGGUUUAACCGCACACUUUAUGAAGCUUAUGUGGAAGAGAAUUCUUCUCCUGGCCAACUUGUGACCAAUCUCCUUGCGUAUGACCCAGACACUGGUGGUUUUGGAACUCUGCAUUAUAGCAUUCUACACCAGACUUCUGAGGGUGCUUUCGCUAUAGAUAAAGAAGGCAACUUGUUCACGGAAAGACAACUAGACCGUGAGUCAUUAGCAUUGCACACCCUUAAAUUAUCCGUAAUAGAUGAGGGUGGACGGGCCAGCUUUACCACUGUCCGUUUGAUCAUCCAUGACAAGAAUGACAAUCCACCAAUAUUUACGUUGCCAGAGUAUCAAUCCAACAUCAACACUGACGUGGCUCCAGGCACAACUAUUCUGAAGGUUGAGGCAGAUGAUGCAGAUGAGGGGUUGAAUAGUGAGGUGGAAUACCGUAUGUAUGAAGCAAACAGCUCAGAGGCACUCAAGCUUUUUGCAGUUGAUUCUCUAACAGGAGAAGUCACCAUCACUCAGAGCCUCCAAGGCCGAGAAACUGAGGUGUAUCAGUUUUUCAUCCGUGGGGAGGACAAAGGGUCCCCACCCCACCACUCAGAUGUUCCCAUCACCAUCUUCCUUCUACCAGCCUAUGAAAGCCCUCCACACUGUGCCAAGAAGUAUGCACAGUUCUUUAUGAGAGAGGAUGAUCCUGUUGGGAAUGUGAUAGCAACUUUGUGGAUGGAGGGUCCACAGGAAGUACAGUAUUCAAUAGUAGCUGAUGAGGACACAGAGCAGAGAGUGGCAGGCAAGGAGAAGGGAUCAGGAGAGAGCUCUGGACCCUUUGCUGUAACUUCUACUGGGCUGGUGGUGACACGAAAAUCUCUGGAUCAUGAGCGGCGACGUAUACACCGCAUCACAGUCACCAACCACACACUUAUGACGCCCCCCACAGUGGACUAUAUGACAAUUUCUGUAAUGGUAAUGGAUGUGAAUGACUGCUCUCCACGCUUUUCUGAAAUGAGCUAUACAACCUUGGUGGCAGAGAACAGUGAACUGGGUGAUGUUAUUACUAUUCUUACUGCCACAGAUGAGGAUGAAGGAAACAAUGGCCAGAUCCAGUAUAGCCUCAGCCAUGAUGAAGAUGCUGUAAUCAAAUCAACAUUCCAUAUUGACCCACACACUGGGACACUGACCCUGGCAGCCUCACUGGACCGUGAGACUGUUGCUCAGUAUUCCUUCACAGUCAUAGCUACUGAUGGAGGUCAGAAACCUCUUUUUACAAGUGCAAGUGUUACUGUGAAGGUCAUGGAUUAUAAUGACAACCCACCAGUGUUCACAAAAGACACUUACAUCACUGCAGUACCAGAGGACACUGCAACUGGCACAGCUGUGGUGGAACUUAGUGUAACAGAUGCUGAUGAAACUAUGGCUGAGCUUGAUUACUUCAUUACUGGUGGAGACCCAGAAGGUCACUUUCUGGUCCACACUUCAGGACAGGUUUAUGUAGCUUCUAUGCUGGAUCGGGAGAAGCAAGCUGAAUACACAUUAACAGUCACUGUUACUGAUGGAAAAUUUACUGCCAACACAACAGUUACUAUAACUGUCAUUGAUGUCAAUGAUAAUGGUCCAGUGUGCAAGGAACCAGUGUAUCGACGUGAUGUGUCAGAGGGCAUCACUCCAGGCACCCAUAUCGCUUCAAUUGUAUCUUGGGAUGCUGAUGAAGGAACUGCUGCUCGUAGCCGUUACACCUUGACUGGGGAUGGUGCUGAACACUUCAGCAUUGACCAACUUAGUGGACAUGUGGCCACAGCCACCCAGCUUGAUCGUGAAACACAAGACAGCUAUUUUCUUACUGUUAUAAUUGAAGACUGGGAACAUGCAGACUGGCAAUGUGAGGUCCUGUUAGAGGUGAUUGUAACAGACACCAAUGAUAAUUCACCAUCCUUCAGUCUGGUCUCUCACUCUGCAACCUUGCCAGAGGAUGCACCUGUUAACACUGUUGUCCUGAAGAUGCAUGCAACUGAUCCUGACCUUGGUAUCAACCGAAAAGUGUACUACAACUUUGUGGACUCUGCCGAUGGUCAUUUUACUAUUGAUGAAAUGGAGGGAGUUGUAAGUCUGGCCCGCCCCCUUGACCGUGAGAUCAGGGACUCUUACAUUCUAACAGUACGUGCCAUAGAUCAAGGAGUGCCACCACUGUCCUCAACCACCCAGCUCACUGUUACAGUCUCAGAUGUAAAUGAUAAUGCACCGGAGUUUGUGAGGAAAUUACAUGAAAUUGCUGUAGAGGAGAACACACCUUUAGGUACAGAAAUCUUGCGGGUAAUGGCCACUUCUAGAGACAUCGGCAUCAAUGCAGAGAUCUCUUAUUCUCUCCAACACACUACUCAGGAGAAGUACCUCCACAUCCAUCCCAAGACCGGUGUGAUCAGUAUUGGGGGUGAGGUGGAUUUUGAACGAGUACAACAGGUGGUGGCAACAAUAGUAGCCACAGAUGGAGGUACACCACCCUUGUCUGCCACAGCUCUGGUCAACCUUACCAUUACUGAUAUCAAUGACAAUGCACCAGUAUUUACACUACCCAGAUACACUGCCACUGUCAGGGAGGAUGCACUGCAAGGUGCCAGUGUUAUUCAGGUUUCAGCAAAUGACAUGGACUCUGGUGUGAAUAGCUUGGUACGCUACAGCAUCAAGGCUGGAAAUGAUGCCUAUUGUUUUGCCAUUGAGGAUGACACUGGCAUCAUUACUGUCAUCAAAAACCUUGACAGAGAAAAGGUGGCUAAUUAUCAACUGACAGUCAGUGCCUGGGAUUUGGGCACUCCAACUAACACUGCAGUUGCUCAGGUAGUGAUACAUGUGAGUGAUGUCAAUGACAACUCACCCAUUUUCACCCAGGACAAUUACACAGUAGUGGUUCAGGAAAACCGACCUGUAGGUUAUUCACUGAUGCGGUUGAUGGCUACUGAUGCUGAUGCAGAUCCCAAUGGUGCCCCUUUUACAUGGGAAGUGAUUAACCAACCUAUUGAAGACCGUGCCUUCACUCUUGACCAAGAUGGCUCAUUAAGGCUGGCCACUAACAGACUUAACCACCAGGUGCAGGACAAGUACAUUGUGCAAGUGCGAGUCUGGGACAGUGGAUCUCCACCACUUCAUGCUAACACUCAUGUGACUGUUAAUGUUGUAGAAGAGUCUCGCUAUCCACCAACACUCUUUCCUCUUACAUCUGUAGUCAUCAGUUUUCGAACUGCCUUCCCAGGAGGUAUUAUAGGGCGGAUUACUGCAUUGGAUCAGGACCCUUAUGACACCUUGCAGUACUCAAUAGCACCCUAUCCUACUGAGGUCAGCUCUAUCAAGUAUUUUGACAUCGAUGGCCAGGACGGUACACUUGUUGCAUUGACACCACUGGAUGCUGGCAACUACAGUGUCAAUGUUAGUGUGUCAGAUGGCAGGUACCAUCGAACUGUACAAGCCUCCAUUCAAGUGUUAGUUAUUACUGAGGAAAUGGUAGAAAACUCUGUUAUUGUCAGACUGGGUCCUUUAUCAUCUGAUGAAUUUCUUUCAAGGUAUCAAAAAUUCUUCCUUAAUGCAGUUGCAACAGAACUCUCAAUUGAUGAGCAGUCUGUGAUGCUUGUUAGCCUACAGCCAACGCUGUUGCAUUCUCACUCAUUAGAAAAAAUAGAUUAUAUUCCACAACGUGCUAAAAGAGAUAUACAGAGAAGCUUGGAUGUUCUGAUUGUUGUGCAGCUAUCUGAAGCAUUUUUGACUAGAGAACAUUUAUUAAUGGAGUUAAAAACUAAACAAGAUGAUAUUAAACACAGACUUGGCUUACCACUUGUGGAAGUUAUGGAAUCGAUGUGUGUAUCUGAUUCAAAAUGUGGCAGCCAUGGAGAUUGUGUUGAUAUUGUCAAAGUCAGUGAAGAUGUAGCAAUGCCCUUCAACACACAGCUUUCUAGUUUUGUUGCUCCAAGGUUUUCACAGGAGGUUGGAUGUGUGUGUGAUCAAGGAUAUGGAGGUAAUGAAUGUUCAACCUUAGUGAAUGCCUGUGGACACCGACCUUGUGCUGAAUAUGAAGAAUGUUCACCCACAAACACCAGCAGUCGUGGUUACACAUGUCAGUGUCCUUCUGGUAGAGCAGGACCUUCAUGCCAAGUAGACUUGACAAAAUGUCGUAGCCCAACAUGCCAUUACCCACUGAGACCCCUUUCCUUUAAGGGAAAAAGCUAUGCUCAGUAUAGUAUAGCACGGCAAACAGAAAGCAGCUCAUUAGUACUCAGUGCAUUUAUGCGAACCAGGAACCCAGUUGGAACACUUGUUUUUGCUGCAGGGGAUGUGGAUUAUAGUGUACUGGAAGUUACUGGUGGACAUGUGCAAUAUCGCUGGGACUGUGGGAGUGGAGAAGGUUUAGUGAGAGUAUCAACAGUGACGGUUAAUAAUGAUAAGUGGCAUUUUAUCAAUCUUACCCGAGAGGGAACCAUAUCAACCCUGAGUGUAGAUGGUGAAGUCAGUUUGGGAGCAGCACCAGGUGCUAAUGAUAUUCUCAACACGGAUUCAGGUUUCAUGUAUCUUGGUGCUACUGUCAACAAAGAACAUGGUACAGGCUUGUCUUCCUACUCUCACACUAGCCUGGGAUUUGUGGGUUGUCUUGAUCAGGUUGUUAUUAAUGGUAUUGAGCUUCCUGUAGCAAUAACAGGAAUGUCUUCUGGGGAUGCAGUGCUAACACGCCUAGCUAAUGUUGAGCUACAGUGCCCUAAUGUACUACCAGUAGCAGGCGUGUGUGGUUCAUAUCCAUGCCAGAAUGGUGGCACAUGCAUUGAAAAUGAAAAUUCUUAUAAAUGCACUUGUCCUCCACGUUUUACUGGAGCACAAUGUCAAGUGGAUACAGCACCGUGUUCCUCAUCGCCUUGUCUCAAUGGGGGUAAAUGUAUUGUAGUUGGCCAUUCAUACAAAUGUCAGUGUCCUACAAAGUUAAGUGGAAAACGUUGCGAGUAUGGUGUGUUUUGUAAUCCAAACCCGUGUCAAAAUGGUGGCCGAUGUGAAGAAGGUGUUGACGGACCAAUAUGUAAGUGUCAACAUUUCACUGGUGCAAUGUGCCAGCUUGAUAUUGAUGAAUGUACCCGCAAUCCUUGCCAAAGUGGUGGAACCUGCCUCAACUUUUUUGGUGGAUUCAAGUGUAUAUGUUCUUCAAAUGUUACUGGUGAAUAUUGCACAGAAAAAGUCAAGAGACCUCAAGAAACAUCUUCAUCUUUGAACAUUACUUUGGAAGAACUAGUGUGCAUCCUAGCUGUCUUUCUUGGAUGUGUGAUGGCUGUGCUUCUUCUUGGAGCAUGGCAGAGACGGAGAUGGAGGCAUAAACGGCAUCAGCAAAAUAAUCGCAUAAAACUCACAGAUCACCAUGUUAAGAAUGAUUUGAAAGCUAAUGAUGCUCCCAAGAGAAAUUCAAAAAUUUGCAAUGUGGAAGCUGAUCAGCAGGGACCUCCUCUUCCACCACGGCCAGCAUCUUACACUCCUAGUGGCACUGACUCUGCCAUACUCAAUACCCUCAAACACUUGGCUGAUCUGUCUGCUGCAGGCCAUGAAAGCCUAGAGUUGGAGACUCUCUCCCGGUGUUCUCAUGAGCUCUUACACAGCUUGAACAAACCUGUUGUUAUGCCGCCCAACCUUUCUCCUCCACCUCCCUCCAACAGUGAUUCUGACUCUCUUCAUAAACCUUGGGAUCAUCACAACAACCUUAAUGACUCAAAUUUCAUGCCUAUCAAAGAUGUUGGUUGUGAUUUGGUGACCAAUUUAGGUGAUGCACACGCCUCGCCUGGCCGACAGUCUCCAUUUUCGGAUGAUUCAUCAGAGAGAGGGAGGGGGUCAUCGCCCCCUGCUGUGCCUCCCCUCCCCAGUCCCCAUCUCCUGGGCCGACGGACUCGGACAGGUUUGAGUCAUCUCGAGGUCAUCCCUGUUGAUUGUGACCCCACCAGACCAGUAUCAUGUACUCCUCAGAUCCCGACAUCCACCUUUAAUGGGUCGAACACAAGGGCACCUGGGGAUAGUGGAGGCUUUAGGAACUUUAAAAAAGGAUUUCCGCCGACUCAGCCAAAGAAAAAAGGUUACCACUGGGAUGAUUAUGAUAUGCGAGGUUCCCGCACCUUGGUUGGCUGUGGGGAUGGGGCCACAGCUGCACCACCUGACCUGUUGAUGUUAGCUGAAGGCACCAGCUUGGUUCCCACUGAUGAUGUAAUAGAGGGCGAGCCACUUCUACCACGAUCUAGUCAUAGCUCAUACAUGCCAGUCCAGAGAGAUGCUGCUGCCACACCUUUACUAUAUGUGGAUGCCAGAGAUCCCCAAGAAGCACCAGAAGGUAAUGAUGAUGAUGAUGAUGGCAAUGAUAAUGAUCCAUGUAGCUUUGAAGAAAUACUCUUGGCCAAUAAUAUAUCUAUUGGAUCUUCUCAAGACGUGGUAGCUGAUCAUAUGGCAAAAUACAACAUUGUCUCUGCCUUGGAGGACGAUUGCACUGAAUCGCCUUUGAAGAUAUCUAAUGUGCCUUCUGCUGCUGAUGGUGUCAACAAACUUGGCAGUCCCAGGAGUCGUCGCCCUUUCCAUCGCCGAGAUUACAGUCGUGUGUCAGAUUUAUCAUUUUUAUCUGCUCUUGAAGAGGAAGGUGUAGAUGACUCAAUGUCUGAACUUCAAGACUCGGACUAUGAAUCAGUGGACAGAACCAGCAACCAACAAACUGCCACACUUGUUCAGACUUCUCCGUCAGAAGUUUUUUUGUAAUUUCAUAAUAUUACAGAUGCCUCAUGCAAGGAUAAAUUAACCCUUUUAUAAAGUCACCUCCCACUCAUUUGCAUAGGCAAUUUCUUGCAAGAAAACUAUAUAUAUAUAUAUAUAUAUAUAUAUAUAUAUAUAUAUAUAUAUAUAUAUAUAUAUAUAUAUAUAUAUAUAUAUAUAUAUAUAUAUAUAUAUAUAUAUAAAUUGUAUAUUUUACAUACAAGACACUCUGCAGCAGCCUGUCAGUUAGCCUUCUUCCCAUCAGUUUAAAACAUACAACCUAAUUCCUAUUAGGUCAUAUUACAUCUCUACAGUGAUUCCAACAAGGGAAUAUGAUCACUCAUGAAUACAUGAUACUGAAAAUUAACAGUUUUCUGCAGAAGAUGUUUCAAUUGAAGAUAAUUAUUUUGGUGCCUUGUGGUCUAGUGUCGGGUUGUAGAGUAUAUACGUGGUAAUUUUGUAUUUUACUGUGAGAGAAAUUAAGAUUAUAAAGUUUCAUAUCUACUUUGAUAUACUACGCUUGUAUUAUUGUAUUAUAUAAGACUGUGUGUGUGUGUGUGUGUGUGUGUGUGUGUGUGUGUGUGUGUGUGUGUGUGUGUGUGUGUGUGUGUGUGUGUGUGUGUGUGU